UAUGCUGAAGAAAGUUAAGGCAAGAAAAGAGAAGACAAUCUUUUGAUUGACAUUGUAAAAUAAAUUAGAGAAGAGAAAUAUGAAAAAUAUAGGUCUGCGUUGUAUUACAUUGUACUAUGUAAAUAUGUAAUAUUAGAAGGAAAUAGGAGAUAAUGCUCGAAAGGAAAUGAAUAUGGAGCUCGAGGCACUUAAACUACAGUAUAAGUGUUACAAGUUGAAUGUAUGAUAUGCCAGUGUAAUAAUAUGUGUCAAUGUCGCUUGCGAUGUAGAAAUUCCCAGAUGAGAGAUUAAGUCAUAAGGUGAAGGUAAACUCGUAAUCUGCUCGAUAUCGUUACACUUUGAUUAACGACUGUAAGGGAAGAGGAAGAAGCGUCGUUGGCAUAUUUACUCGCACGUUUCGAUCUAAUUGACCGGUUGAUUCUUACGAAUCGAUCGUAAGUUUAUUUCUGUCCGUGAUCUAUGUUCAAAAGAUACGGGAGGGAGAAGAACUUUGUUUUCAAGUUACCUUGAGAAAAUCCCAUUACAAAGACCAAAUAAAUGGAGACGAAACGGAGCAAAUCGCCCAUGAUCAUUCUGUAA
rnacentral:lncRNA from 1 species